rnacentral:rRNA from 1 species
AUACGUAGGGGGCGAGCGUUGUCCGGAAUGACUGGGCGUAAAGGGCGUGUAGGCGGCCGUUUAAGUCUGGAGUGAAAGUCCCGCUUUCAAGGUGGGAAUUGCUUUGGAGACUGGUUGGCUUGAGUGCGGACGAGGUAAGUGGAAUUCCCAGUGUAGCGGUGAAAUGCGUAGAGAUUGGGAGGAACACCAGUGGCGAAGGCGACUUACUGGGCCGUAACUGACGCUGAGGCGCGAAAGCGUGGGGAGCGAACAGGAUUAGAUACCCUGGUAGUCCACGCUGUAAACGAUGAAUGCUAGGUGUAGGGGGUAUCGACCCCUCCUGUGCCGGAGUAAACGCAAUAAGCAUUCCGCCUGGGGAGUACGGCCGCAAGGUUGAAACUUAAAGGAAUUGACGGGG